AACAAAACCUAAAACCUAAAUCAUUUCUCAAAAAAACCUAAAGAAACUCUAAGGUUUCUGCGUCGUUCUGUACUGAGGGCAUGCGAACGGCUUCCGAACCUAGCCCAUACUCCGAUGACAACGGAGAGGGUCGGGAUCUCGCUGCCAGUAUGCGUGGGUGCGUAACCCUUACAGAUUCUGUUUAAUGGCCUAUAUAGCCGAAAAGAAAAUGCCGAGAAAAUCAAAAUCUCCAACUUUUCUUUUUUUUUACAACUGUUAUCUGUCGUUUUUUGUUCGUUUCUGCUUGUUUGUUUGUCGUUCUUGCAGGUACGGCCGUACGGAGGAGCGUGGCGUGGAGGUGCGCGUGUGGGAGGCCACUGUUGCGGCUGCUGGAGCUAUUGCUGCUAGGGUUUGCGUUUAGGGAAUGUUUCGGGCUAGGUUGGGCUGUGUUAGGCUUUGGGCUAGGCUAGUGUUUGAAUAGUUUAGGCAUUGGGUUUCUGUUAAUUGGACUUUGGGUAUGUAAUUUUGGGUUUUUUAAAUUGGGUCAAUGUAAUGGACAUUUAGACUUUAUUUAUUUAUUUAUUCUGAAA